GAGAGUUGAUCAUGGCUCAGGAUGAACGCUGGCGGCGUGCCUAAUACAUGCAAGUCGAACGAGGUAGCAAUACCGAGUGGCGAACGGGUGAGUAACACGUAGGUAACCUGCCCUUAAGCUUGGGAUACCCAGAGGAAACUUUGGCUAAUACCGGAUAACAACAGAGAAGGCAUCUUCUUUGCUUGAAAGGCCCCUUCAAGGGUCACUUAAGGAUGGACCUGCGGCGCAUUAGCUAGUUGGUGAGAUAACAGCCCACCAAGGCGAGGAUGCGUAGCCGAACUGAGAGGUUGAUCGGCCACAUUGGAACUGAGACACGGUCCAAACUCCUACGGGAGGCAGCAGUAAGGAGUUUUCGGCAAUGGGGGAAACCCUGACCGAGCAACGCCGCGUGAGCGAUGACGGUCCUUUGGAUUGUUAAAAAGCUCUGUUGUAAGCCAUGAAUGACAGCUUGAGGAAAUGCAAGUUGUUUGACGACAGCUUACCAGAAAGCCACGGCUAACUACGUGCCAGCAGCUGC
rnacentral:rRNA from 1 species